rnacentral:rRNA from 1 species
GACGAACGCUGGCGGCGUGCUUAACACAUGCAAGUCGAACGAUGAAGCCGGAGCUUGCUCUGGUGAAUUAGUGGCGAACGGGUGAGUAACACGUGAGUAACCUGUCCUUGACUCUGGGAUAACUACGGGAAACUGUAGCUAAUACCGGAUACGACCCUCGGAGGCAUCUCCUGGGGGUGGAAAGAAUUUCGGUCAAGGAUGGACUCGCGGCCUAUCAGCUAGUUGGUGAGGCCAAGGCUCAACAAGGGGACGACGGGUAGCCGGCCUGGGAGGGUGGCCGGCCACACUUGGACUGAGAAACGGCCCAGACUCCGACGGGAGGCAGCAGUGGGGAAUAUUGCACAAUGGGCGCAAGCCUGAUGCAGCAACGCCGCGUGAGGGAUGACGGCCUUCGGGUUGUAAACCUCUUUUAGCAGGGAAGAAGCGAAAGUGACGGUACCUGCAGAAAAAGCACCGGCUAACUACGUGCCAGCCGCCGCGGUAA